rnacentral:rRNA from 1 species
GACGGAGGUGGCAAGCGUUAUUCGGAAUUAUUGGGCGUAAAGGGCGCGUAGGCGGCUAGAUGUGUCAAAGGUGAAAUCCCUCGGCUCAACUGAGGAACUGCCUUUGAAACUGUCUGGCUUGAGGCCGGGAGAGGGUAGCGGAAUUCCCAGUGUAGCGGUGAAAUGCGUAGAUAUUGGGAGGAACACCAGUGGCGAAGGCGGCUACCUGGACCGGUUCUGACGCUGAGGCGCGAAAGCGUGGGGAGCAAACAGG